UACGGAGGGGGCUAGCGUUGUUCGGAAUUACUGGGCGUAAAGCGCACGUAGGCGGCUUUGUAAGUUAGAGGUGAAAGCUCGGGGCUCAACUCCGGAAUUGCCUUUAAGACUGCAUCGCUAGAAUUGUGGAGAGGUAAGUGGAAUUCCGAGUGUAGAGGUGAAAUUCGUAGAUAUUCGGAAGAACACCAGUGGCGAAGGCGACUUACUGGACACAUAUUGACGCUGAGGUGCGAAAGCGUGGGGAGCAAACAGG
rnacentral:rRNA from 1 species